rnacentral:sRNA from 1 species
AUGGCUGUCGUCAGCUCGUGUCGUGAGAUGUUGGGUUAAGUCCCGCAACGAGCGCAACCCCUAUUUUUAGUUGCUACCAUUUAGUUGGGCACUCUAAAAAAACUGCCAGUGAUAAGCUGGAGGAAGGCGGGGAUGACGUCAAGUCCUCAUGGCCCUUACGUGUUGGGCUACACACGUGCUACAAUGGUACCUACAGUGAGAAGCAAAGAGGCGACUCUAAGCCAAUCCCAAAAAGGUACCUCAGUUCGGAUUGUACUCUGCAACUCGAGUACAUGAAGCUGGAAUUACUAGUAAUCGCGGAUCAGCGCGCCGCGGUGAAUACGUUCCCGGGUCUUGUACACACCGCCCGUCACACCAUGGAAGUUGGUUACACCUUAAGGCAAAGCAUAAAACCUUUGACUACGGUACGAUCAGCGACUGGGGUGAAGUCGUAACAAGGUAGCCGUAGGGGAACCUGCGGCUGGAUCACCUCCUUUCUAAGGAAAUCGAAAAAUAUUAAAACAAUUAUUUUCGAUUUAAAAAAAACCGGUAAUGUGACCGUCCUCAUUUCUCUUCUUUUAAUGUCUCUGAGUAAAAAUAAAUGUAAGGGGCCGGUAGCUCAGGUGGUUAGAGCGCACCCCUGAUAAGGGUGAGGUCGGAAGUUCGAAUCUUCCUCGGCCCACCAAUAUUACGGGGGAUUAGCUCAGCUGGGAGAGCGCCUGAUUUGCAUUCAGGAGGCCAGCGGUUCGAUCCCGCUAUCCUCCACCAAAAAUUGAGACAUUUAGCUUUUUUAAAUUGUGAAUAUUAUUAUCAAUAUCUAUAUCCGAUUGUUUUCAUAUUUUUUUGAAAACAAUCAAAACAAAAAUUUAAUUUAUUACAGAAAAGUUUUUUUCUGUGCAUAAAUCAAGCGUUUAAGGGCGAUUGGCGGAUGCCUUGGCACUGUAAGACGAUGAAGGACGUGGUAUACUGCGAUAAGUUUCGGGGAGCUGUAUGCGAGCUUUGAUCCGAAAAUUUCCGAAUGGGGAAACCCGG